UGGGGAAUAUUGCACAAUGGGCGCAAGCCUGAUGCAGCCAUGCCGCGUGUAUGAAGAUGGCCUUCGGGUUGUAAAGUACUUUCAGCGAGGAGGAAGGCGUUGUGGUUAAUAACCGCAACGAUUGACGUUACUCGCAGAAGAAGCACCGGCUAACUCCGUGCCAGCAGCCGCGGUAAUACGGAGGGUGCAAGCGUUAAUCGGAAUUACUGGGCGUAAAGCGCACGCAGGCGGUCUGUCAAGUCGGAUGUGAAAUCCCCGGGCUCAACCUGGGAACUGCAUCCGAAACUGGCAGGCUAGAGUCUUGUAGAGGGGGGUAGAAUUCCAGGUGUAGCGGUGAAAUGCGUAGAGAUCUGGAGGAAUACCGGUGGCGAAGGCGGCCCCCUGGACAAAGACUGACGCUCAGGUGCGAAAGCGUGGGGAGCAAACA
rnacentral:rRNA from 1 species